rnacentral:rRNA from 1 species
GACGAACCGAGCGAACGUUGUUCGGAAUCACUGGGCUUAAAGGGCGCGUAGGCGGGUGCUCAAGUCCGUGGUGAAGUCCUCCGGCUCAACCGGAGAACUGCCUCGGAUACUGGGCGUCUCGAGUGUGGUAGGGGUAUGCGGAACUAUCGGUGGAGCGGUGAAAUGCGUUGAUAUCGAUAGGAACUCCGGUGGCGAAGGCGGCAUACUGGACCACCACUGACGCUGAUGCGCGAAAGCCAGGGGAGCAAACGGG